rnacentral:rRNA from 1 species
CGGAGGCCCCAAGCGUUACUGAGAAUCACUGGGUUUAAAGGGUGCGUAGGUGGCGCGUUAAGUCCGUUGUGAAAGCCCUGGGCUCAACCCAGGAACUGCUUCGGAUACUGGCGCGCUUGAGGCUAGUAGGGGUCACUGGAACUGACGGUGGAGCGGUGAAAUGCGUAGAUAUCGUCAGGAACGCCAAUGGUGAAGACAGGUGACUGGGCUAGUUCUGACACUGAGGCACGAAAGCGUGGGGAGCGAACGGGAUUAGAUACCCCGGUAGUCCACGCCCUAAACGAUGCAGACUAGACUGCAGCGGGUUACACCCCGUUGCGGUCGGAGCGAAAUUGUUAAGUCUGCCACCUGGGAAGUACGGUCGCAAGGCUA